UCCGUAGGCGGGCAAUUAAGUCAGAGGUGAAAUCCCACAGCUCAACUGUGGAACUGCCUUUGAUACUGGUUGUCUUGAGUUAUAGUGAAGUAGAUAGAAUAUGUAGUGUAGCGGUGAAAUGCAUAGAUAUUACAUAGAAUACCGAUUGCGAAGGCAGUCUACUAACUGUACACUGACGCUAAUGGACGAAAGCGUGGGGAGCGAACAGGAUUGAUACCCUGGUAGUCC
rnacentral:rRNA from 1 species